CCGGAUUCUGAAGCCCCGAGCCGUUUAUAGUUUGAGGCACCAUGCUUCCCCCUGGUGGCCGAAGGGAGUUACUGUCGCGGCUAAAGGGGCGUCGCAGUAUAUACACAGCGGGCCCUUUCCCGCCAUACAUUCUAUGCUUUUUGAACACCCGCCGUGGGCUAAGCAUGGGACCCAUGUGGGGUGGGGACACAUGGAGAUAAAGAGAGCCAGGCCCUGGCUGCCAAGGAGCUUUCCUGUAACACCAAUGCAUCAAACAAAAGGCAGCAGUGAGGAUGCCAGAGUCCAUGGGUUUCUAGAAGACAAGUUUUCAACUGCAGAUACAAACAUUAGGACGUCAAUGUAUCUGUUAGGAGACACCUGGACAGUGUUGAGAACACUGAACCUGGAGGCUAAACCCCCAGCUUUCUAUGCCAGCUGAGAGUCUGUGGGCACAUUCCUCAGCGUCUCUGAACCUCGCGCUCCUCCCCUGUGACAUGUAGAUUGUUAAACCCAUCUCACAGGGCUGUCUUCUGCAUUUAAAGAAUAAAAUAACACAUGAGGGGUC
rnacentral:lncRNA from 1 species